rnacentral:rRNA from 1 species
UACGUAGGGUGCAAGCGUUGUCCGGAAUUAUUGGGCGUAAAGAGCUCGUAGGCGGUCUGUCGCGUCGGAUGUGAAAACCCAGGGCUCAACCCUGGGCCUGCAUUCGAUACGGGCAGACUAGAGUUCGGUAGGGGAGACUGGAAUUCCUGGUGUAGCGGUGAAAUGCGCAGAUAUCAGGAGGAACACCAACGGCGAAGGCAGCACUCUGGGCCGGUACUGACGCUGAGGAGCGAAAGCGUGGGGAGCAAACAGG